rnacentral:lncRNA from 1 species
CAGGUGGGCUCUGUGCCUCGUGGCGGGACAGGAACUGGUUGAGGUCGCCGUUCUCCAUGUACUCAGUGAUCAUGCACAGCGGGUCGUCCGUGAUGCACACCGCCAGCAGCCGGAUGAUGUUGGGGUCCUUGAGCCGUGACAUGAUCUUGAUUUCCUUCAGGAAAUCAUUCCUGGCAUUCUUGUUGGCAUCGGCCCGCAGCAUCUUCACAGCCACUAGAACGGGGCAGUUGGGGCUGGCAUCCAAGCCCUCCAGGGUGAACUCCUUGUCCGCGAACUUCUCCAUCCCCU